UUUCUCGUCUCGGGUGGAAUUAAUUAACAACGAUGCCUGACAUUAAAAUGCUUUUGACACAACCAGGAAUCGAUCCUGGCCUUACCCACUUGCAAACACUUUGCCUUUACCACUAGACCAUUUCGCCUACACUUGCUUUAACCCCUUUUUUUAUUCUACUUGGCUAAUUUUUGUCUCGCGUGGAAUUAAUUAACAACGACGCCUUACAUUAAAAUGCUUUUGACACAACCAGGAAUCGAUCCUGGCGUUAUGCACUUGCAAACACUUUGCCUUUACCACUAGACCAUUUCGCCUACACUUGCUUUAACUCCUUUUUUUUAUUCUACUUGGCUAAUUUCCGUCUCGGGUGGAAUUAAUUAACAACGACGCCUUACAUUAAAAUGCUUUUGACACAACCAGGAAUCGAUCUGGCUUUACGCACUGCAAACACUUUGCCUUUACCACUAGACCAUUUCGCCUACACUUGCUUUAACUCCUUUUUUUAUUCUACUUGGCUAAUUUUCGUCUCGGGUGGAAUUAAUUAAGAACGACGCUUUACAUUAAAAUGCUUUUGACACAACCAGGAAUCGAUCCUGGCUUUACGCACUUGCAACACUUUGCCUUUACCACUAGACCAUUUCGUCUACACUUGCUUUAAUUAAAAUGCUUUUGACACAACAAGGAAUCGAUCCUGGUUUUACCCACUUGCAACAGUUCGUCCUUACCACUAGACCAUUUCGCCUACACUUGCUUUAACUUCUUUUUUGUUCUCACUUAACUCUUUCUCGUCUCCGGCGGAAUUAAUUAUCAACCAUGCCUGACAUUAAAAUACACACUUGCAACACUUUGCCUUUACCACUAUACCAUCUCGCCUACACUUGCCUUUACUCCUUUUUUAUUCUCACUUAACUCUUUCUCGUCUCGGGAGGAAUUAAUUAACAACGAUGCCUGACAUUAAAAUGGUUUAAUUUUGACACAACCAGGAAUCGAUCCUGGCUUUACGCACUAGCAACACUUUGCCAUUACCACUAUACCAUCUCGCCUGCACCUUUUUUAUUCUACUUGGCUAAUUUUCGUAUGGGGUGGAAUUAAUUAACAACGAUGCCUGACAUUAAAAUGCUUUUGACACAACCAGGAAUCGAUCCUGGCUUUACGCACUUGCAACACUUUGCCUUUACCACUAGACCAUCUCGCCUCUAGAUUCUAAAAAUAGAAUUUGCAGACCGGCCUAAAUUCACGUUUCCGCUACAGGGACCUUGAAAUUCAAUAGAACAUCAG
rnacentral:lncRNA from 1 species